rnacentral:rRNA from 1 species
UGAUGACGAGACGCUAAGGCGUUGAAGCAGUGUAUGUCAGACUUCCAAGAAAAGCUCGCAAUGUCACAAAUAAAUAAUGCCUGUACCAUAACCGACACAGGUGGGUAGGUAGAGUAUACUAAGGGGCGCGGGAUAACUCUCUCUAAGGAACUCGGCAAAAUGACUCCGUAACUUCGGGAGAAGGAGUGCCUUAUUUAUAAGGUUGCAAUAACAAGAUCCAAGCAACUGUUUAUCAAAAACACAGGUCUCCGCUAAGUCGUAAGACGAUGUAUGGGGGCUGACGCCUGCCCAGUGCCAGAAGGUUAAAGAAGUUGGUUAGUGUAUGCGAAGCUGAUGACUGAAGCCCUGGUGAACGGCGGCCGUAACAAUAACGGUCCUAAGGUAGCGAAAUUCCUUGUCGGGUAAGUUCCGACCCGCACGAAAGGCGUAAUGAUUUGGAUACUGUCUCGGAGAGAGGCUCGGUGAAAUAGACUUGUCUGUGAAGAUGCGGACUACCUGCACCAGGACAGAAAGACCCUAUGAAGCUUUACUGUAACUUGAAAUUGGAAUUGGACUUUGCUUGCGCAGUAUAGGUGGGAAGCGUUGAAAAUAUUCUUGCGGGAGUAUUGGAGCUAUCAGUGAGAUACCACUCUUGUAAUGUUAGAUUUCUAACUUUGAACCAUAAUCUGGUCAAAGAACAGUUUCAGGUGGGCAGUUUGACUGGGGCGGUCGCCUCCCAAAUGGUAACGGAGGCGUACAAAGGUUUCCUCUGAACGGAUAGAAAUCGUAUCUAGAGUGUAAAGGCAUAAGGAAGCUUGACUGUGAGACCUACAAGUCGAGCAGGGACGAAAGUCGGUCUUAGUGAUCUGACGGUACUGAGUGGAAAGGCCGUCACUCAACGGAUAAAAGUUACUCUAAGGAUAACAGGCUGAUCUCCCCCAAGAGUUCACAUCGACGGGGAGGUUUGGCACCUCGAUGUCGGCUCAUCGCAUCCUGGGGCGGUAGUACGUCCCAAGGGUUGGGCUGUUCGCCCAUGAAAGCGGUACGCGAGCUGGGUUCAGAACGUCGUGAGACAGUUCGGUCCAUAUCCGGUGUAGGCGCUAGAAUAUUGAGAGGAGCCUUCUUUAGUACGAGAGGACCGAGAAGGACACACCGCUGGUGUACCAGUUAUCGUGCCAACGGUAAACGCUGGGUAGCUAUGUGUGGAGUGGAUAACCGCUGAAAGCAUCUAAGUGGGAAGCCCACCUCGAGAUGAGUAUUCC